UACGUAGGUGGCGAGCGUUGUCCGGAUUUACUGGGCGUAAAGAGCGCGCAGGCGGUCGUGCAAGUCGCGUGUGAAAGCCCCCGGCUCAACUGGGGAGGGUCACGCGAUACUGCUCGACUUGAAGGCAGGAGAGGGAAGUGGAAUUCCCGGUGUAGUGGUGAAAUGCGUAGAUAUCUGGAGGAAUACCGGUGGCGAAGGCGGCAUCCUGGACCGAGAUUGACACUGAGGAGCGAAAGCCAGGGGAGCAAACGGG
rnacentral:rRNA from 1 species